rnacentral:rRNA from 1 species
GCUUAGAGUUUGAUCCUGGCUCAGGAUGAACGCUGGCGGCGUGCUUAACACAUGCAAGUCGAACGAAGCUUUUCGGAGCUUAGUGGCGGACGGGUGAGUAACGCGUGAGGACCUGCCCUUAGGAGGGGGACAACAGUUGGAAACGACUGCUAAUACCCCCUGAGCCGAGAGGUGAAACAUUUUAUGGCCUAAGGAUGAACUCGCGUCUGAUUAGCUAGUUGGUGGGGUAAGGGCUUACCAAGGCGACGAUCAGUAGCUGGUCUGAGAGGAUGACCAGCCACACUGGGACUGAGACACGGCCCAGACUCCUACGGGAGGCAGCAGUGGGGAAUUUUCCGCAAUGGGGGCAACCCUGACGGAGCAACGCCGCGUGAGGGAGGAAGGCCUGUGGGUUGUAAACCUCUUUUCUCAGGGAAGAAGUACUGACGGUACCUGAGGAAUCAGCAUCGGCUAACUCCGUGCCAGCAGCCGCGGUAAUACGGAGGAUGCAAGCGUUAUCCGGAAUUAUUGGGCGUAAAGCGUCCGUAGGCGGUUAUUUAAGUCUGCUGUCAAAGACUGCAGCUCAGCUGUGGGCAGGCAGUGGAAACUGAGUAACUAGAGAGCGGCAGGGGUAGAGGGAAUUCCCAGUGUAGCGGUGAAAUGCGUAGAUAUUGGGAAGAACACCAGUGG